rnacentral:rRNA from 1 species
AGCAGUCGCCGCGGGAAUACGUAGGGUGCGAGCGUUAAUCGGAAUUACUGGGCGUAAAGCGUGCGCAGGCGGUUGUGUAAGACAGGUGUGAAAUCCCCGGGCUCAACCUGGGAAUGGCGCUUGUGACUGCAAAGCUAGAGUGCGGCAGAGGGGGAUGGAAUUCCGCGUGUAGCAGUGAAAUGCGUAGAUAUGCGGAGGAACACCGAUGGCGAAGGCAAUCCCCUGGGCCUGCACUGACGCUCAUGCACGAAAGCGUGGGGAGCAAACAGGAUUAGAUACCCGCGUAGUCCCUGUCUCUUAUAC